AAGUGUGACGGAGGCAGAGCCGUUGAAAGUGUGACGGAGGCAGAGCUGUUGAAAGUGUGACGGAGGCAGAGCUGUUGAAAGUGGGACGGAGGCAGAGCUGUUGAAAGUGGGACGGAGGCAGAGCUGUUGAAAGUGGGACGGAGGCAGAGCUGUUGAAAGUGGGACGGAGGCAGAGCUAUUGAAAGGGUGACGGAGGCAGAGCUGUUGAAAGUGGGACGGAGGCAGAGCUAUUGAAAGUGUGAUGGAGGCAGAGCUGUUGAAAGUGGGACAGAGGCAGAGUUGUUGAAAGUGGGACGGAGGCAGAGCUAUUGAAAGUGUGACGGAGGCAGAGCUGUUGAAAGUGUGACGGAGGCAGAGCUAUUGAAAGUGUGAUGGAGGCAGAGCUGUUGAAAGUGUGACGGAGGCAGAGCUGUUGAAAGUGGGACGGACGCAGAGCUGUUGAAAGUGGGACAGAGGCAGAGUUGUUGAAAGUGGGACGGAGGCAGAGCUAUUGAAAGUGGGACAGAGGCAGAGCUAUUGAAAGUGUGAUGGAGGCAGAGCUGUUGAAAGUGUGACGGAGGCAGAGCUGUUGAAAGUGGGACGGAGGCAGAGCUAUUGAAAGUGGGACGGAGGCAGAGCUAUUGAAAGUGGGACGGAGGCAGAGCUAUUGAAUGUCUGGAACCAGAAGCAUAAAGUUGCACCCUGACCCUUAAAAACAAAGUCUUAUAGAUCUUGUGUGGGAUUUUUCCUGCAGUCUUAUGUCAGCAUACAAUAUACACUGAGUGUACAAAACAUUAGGAACACCUUCCCAAUAUUGAGUUGAACCCCUUUUGCUUUCAGAACAGCCUCAAUUCGUUGGACUUGGAUUCUACAAGGGAUGCUGGCCCACGCCAAUGGUUCCCACAGUUGGGUUGGCUGGAUGUCCUUUGGGUGGUGGACCAUUCUUGAAAAACCCAACAGCGUUAAAGUUCUUGACACAUUUAAACCGGUGUGCCUGGCACCUACUACCAUACCCCAUUCAAAGCUCUUAAAUAUUUUUGUCUUGCCCAUUCACCCUGUUAUGGCACACAUUCACAAUCCAUGUCUCAAUUGUCCUUUACCCUGUUUUCUCCGUUU
ensembl:lncRNA